rnacentral:rRNA from 1 species
UAGGGAAUCUUCGGCAAUGGACGGAAGUCUGACCGAGCAACGCCGCGUGAGUGAAGAAGGUUUUCGGAUCGUAAAGCUCUGUUGUUAGAGAAGAACGUUGGUAGGAGUGGAAAAUCUACCAAGUGACGGUAACUAACCAGAAAGGGACGGCUAACUACGUGCCAGCAGCCGCGGUAAUACGUAGGUCCCGAGCGUUGUUCGGAUUUAUUGGGCGUAAAGCGAGCGCAGGCGGUUCUUUAAGUCUGAAGUUAAAGGCAGUGGCUUAACCAUUGUACGCAUUGGAAACUGGAGGAAUUGAGUGCAGAAGAGGAGAGUGGAAUUCCAUGUGUAGCGGUAAAAUGCGUAGGUAUAUGGAGGAACACCGGUGGCGAAAGCGGCUCUCUGGUCUGUAACUGACGCUGAGGCUCGAAAGCGUGGGGAGCAAACAGG